GCCUGGGUGGCUCAGUUGGUUGAGCGUCCGACUUCGGCUCAGAUCAUGAUCUCGCAGUUUGUGGGUUCAAGCCCCGCGUCGGGCU
rnacentral:tRNA from 1 species